UACAGAGGGUGCGAGCGUUAAUCGGAAUUACUGGGCGUAAAGCGUGCGUAGACGGUUAUUUAAGUCGGGUGUGAAAGCCCCGGGCUCAACCUGGGAAUUGCAUUCGAGACUGAAUAGCUAGGGUACGGUAGAGGGAAGUGGAAUUUCCGGUGUAGCGGUGAAAUGCGUAGAUAUCUGGAGGAACACCGGUGGCGAAGGCGGCGUUCUGGACUGCAACUGACACUGUAAAACGAAAGCCAGGGGAGCAAACGGG
rnacentral:rRNA from 1 species